rnacentral:ribozyme from 1 species
UCCAUUGAUAUAUUGAUCGAUCGGUUUCUCUACAGUCUCGCAGUAGAAACAACGUUUUACCAUUAAAAAAAUAUACAAAGAAAAACUCUCCCACAAAAGAAAAACAAAAGAAAAAGAGAAACACAAUGAGAUUUGG